rnacentral:rRNA from 1 species
UGGGGAAUAUUGCACAAUGGGGGAAACCCUGAUGCAGCGACGCCGCGUGAGCGAAGAAGGUUUUCGAAUCGUAAAGCUCUGUCCUAUGAGAAGAUAAUGACGGUAUCAUAGGAGGAAGCCCCGGCUAAAUACGUGCCAGCAGCCGCGGUAAUACGUAUGGGGCGAGCGUUGUCCGGAAUUAUUGGGCGUAAAGGGUACGUAGGCGGUCUAUUAAGUCAGGUGUGAAAGCGUGAGGCUUAACCUCAUUAAGCACUUGAAACUGAUAGACUUGAGUGAAGGAGAGGAAAGUGGAAUUCCUAGUGUAGCGGUGAAAUGCGUAGAUAUUAGGAGGAAUACCGGUGGCGAAGGCGACUUUUUGGCCUGCAACUGACACUGAGGCGCGAAAGCGUGGGGAGCAAACAGG